AUUGAACGCUGGCGGCAGGCCUAACACAUGCAAGUCGAGCGGAUGAGGGGUGCUUGCACCCCGAUUCAGCGGCGGACGGGUGAGUAAUGCCUAGGAAUCUGCCCGAUAGUGGGGGACAACGUUUCGAAAGGAACGCUAAUACCGCAUACGUCCUACGGGAGAAAGUGGGGGCUCUUCGGACCUCACGCUAUCGGAUGAGCCUAGGUCGGAUUAGCUAGUUGGUGGGGUAAAGGCUCACCAAGGCGACGAUCCGUAACUGGUCUGAGAGGACGAUCAGUCACACUGGAACUGAGACACGGUCCAGACUCCUACGGGAGGCAGCAGUGGGGAAUAUUGGACAAUGGGCGAAAGCCUGAUCCAGCCAUGCCGCGUGUGUGAAGAAGGUCUUCGGAUUGUAAAGCACUUUAAGUCGGGAGGAAGGGUUGUAGGUUAAUACCUUGCAGCCUUGACGUUACCGACAGAAUAAGCACCGGCUAACUUCGUGCCAGCAGCCGCCGUAACAC
rnacentral:rRNA from 1 species